AUUUUCUUUACAAGAAUGUAGUUAUGAUUUGAAGUCGGAUCUUAUUCUAUUAGAAAAUUGUAAUAGUAAAUUUCAAGAUUACAACGCAGGCACCAUUCUUUUUAUUCACAUCACAAAGUAGAACAUAGACUCACUUCUUGCUCAACUCAACCCCAAGGCUUAAGAUAUAAUGCAAAUGUUAAACUGGAUCAACACCUAAACAGAACCAAAAUAAAUUCUGAUCUGACAUAAGCCCAUACAUGGCAUGUAUAAUGUAUAGAUGAGAAACAGAGUGAACUCCUUAGAUCCUCACGCAAACUCCUUAACUCAUUAGAUUCACACACAAACUCGUCAUUAGAUUCACACACAAACUCGAGGAAUUUGUCGAUGAUAUGGAUCCAUGUGAGCCACGACAUGGAGGAGACCGAUUCCACUGAAUUGCAUUUCAGCCAACAUCUAUGAGCAGCAACAUCAAGCAAAAGGGCUUAGAGCACUGAGCUGGCACAGGGGAGACCCGAAUUCAGAUCCACACCAUCACAAAAUAAUACCUUCACAAUUAGAGCCGUAGAGACACAGAUCUGGAAGGUUUUGGUACAUCUUGUUGAGAUUAGAAGCAUUUCUUUACUAUGAGGCACGGAUCGUGGAUUAAAAUCUCCAAACCCUAAUUAGAGUCUUUCAAAUUCAAGGAUUUUUUGCCUAUGCUUGAAUGGAUGAACGAUGAUUGUUGGUGCCUCAGGAGCGUAAAACUGUAGAGGAGGUGCGAUCGUUGGCUUAGGAUCUCAAGCCUCCGAGCCAGCGGGGAGCACUCUGCCCGAAUGGAGGGGAGAAAUUCUCCCUCAUCCAACUCCGGCCAUUCCCCACGCUUAUUUAUUCUGGAAUAAAGGUAAAUUAAGCUUAAGU
rnacentral:misc_RNA from 1 species